CACAGAGAGCGCAAAGGCGCUAUGUCAUAUCAUAACUGCUCCUGACCACACCUAGUGUAUUAGUCCUCUUGUGGGCUGCAAACACAACCUCAUUACUCCCGACUCCCAGACAAGCAGCUCAGAAGGGGAUCAAACUACAGCAAAAAACAUUUAGAAGCCAGAAAUUCCAGGGACAGCUGCAGAACAAAACUAGAGAAAUAGGAACUUUACGAAGUAGAGCUCAUCAUCUACCAGGAGCGGGGAGGAGCACGGCAGCAGCCAGCCCCAGAGAUCCUACCUGACGUGGAAAACCAUGCCGGACUCCUUCACCGUCCACUUCCUCAAGGUACUGAAGGAGCUGCUGGCCUUCGUGCUGUUCAGUUAUACCGUGCUGGUCGGGGCACUGCUGCUCGCCGGCUGGACGACCUACUUCUUGGUGCUUAAAUGAGAGCUCCUCUUCUGCUCCUGCAGCCAUGGGCUGGCCAGAGGCAACAGGCUCCACCGUGCAGCUCGUCCAGCGCAUCUGCUCCACACGCAGGAUGGCAGCUCCUUCCCCCUUCCUGACUCUGCAAGCGUUUUGUUUCGUUACUACCUAAUCACAAUCUUAUUUUCUUAUGUAAAAAGAAUAAAGAUU